UUAAUCGUGGUUAUUAUGGAUGAUAUUGUCCGUGUGUGUACUGUGAUCGAGCCGGAUUGACUUCGAAGGAGGCAACGCAUGGAACGGUUGAUGGGCAGCUUUGUUUAACUUCAAGACCAUGUGCUGCUGAAAGCUUUCUGAAAGCAACAGGACAAAAAAUAAGGGAUGUGGGCCUUGGAAAGACCAGCUGAUGGAAAAAAUCAACGUCUGUGUUGCACGCAACGCCAUUGUGACAGUCUGCAUCACCAUUUGGCCUGUUGUGGGAUCCCACAAGACACGCUCUGUUCC